AAUGUUCUUUAUCAUCAAUGUGGUUCGACUAUCUUCGCCACACAAUAUGCGGUCAAUAUCAAGUUCAUAUUGUUUCUUAUCUGAAUGAUUGGAAUUUGAUUCAAUUCUACGAUGUGAGAGAUUUCUAACACGUUCAUUAGGAGAAUCAAAAGGGGAUGGCAUUGAGAUCAUCGUGUUCCUCCCAGGGAAAAUGUGGCACAUUGGCUGAGCAGUGUGUAGUCCAGCAUUUUUAGUCAUAUCCACACAAUUUCCGCCAACAUGAGAGAAAAUGUUGUGGGAAGCAAUUUCCAUAGGAUGUGGUGGAGAGCUACCAGGAAAACCCACACUCCCAAGCGAACCCAAAUGGAAACUAGAAGCUUCUGGAGACUCUCCAGAAUAAGCAUGUCGCCUAUCCCACAA
rnacentral:misc_RNA from 1 species